AUUGAACGCUGGCGGCAGGCCUAACACAUGCAAGUCGAGCGGAUGAGAGAAGCUUGCUUCUCGAUUCAGCGGCGGACGGGUGAGUAAUGCCUAGGAAUCUGCCUGGUAGUGGGGGACAACGUUUCGAAAGGAACGCUAAUACCGCAUACGUCCUACGGGAGAAAGCAGGGGACCUUCGGGCCUUGCGCUAUCAGAUGAGCCUAGGUCGGAUUAGCUAGUUGGUGAGGUAAUGGCUCACCAAGGCGACGAUCCGUAACUGGUCUGAGAGGAUGAUCAGUCACACUGGAACUGUGACACGGUCCAGACUCCUACGGGAGGCAGCAGUGGGGAAUAUUGGACAAUGGGCGAAAGCCUGAUCCAGCCAUGCCGCGUGUGUGAAGAAGGUCUUCGGAUUGUAAAGCACUUUAAGUUGGGAGGAAGGGUUGUAGAUUAAUACUCUGCAAUUUUGACGUUACCGACAGAAUAAGCACCGGCUAACUCUGUGCCAGCAGCCGCCGCAGUAA
rnacentral:rRNA from 1 species